CUUUAAUUUCCCUGAAGGUGAAUACAAGAAUUAAAGAUGCUCAAAGAAGUGUUUCCCUGAUAACAGACACAGAGAGCACAGACUGUAUCUGUGCCAGUCGGCACAGUGUGAAUUGACUGACAGAAAGGGGAUAGGCUGUUUUAUAAUCUCUAAUUUUAAAGAAAUGUAGAUAUUUACUAUCAAUUCUGAUAGCACAAUGUAAAGAUUAAAUUUGAUUCUCUACCAUUUUAAAUGAAGUUGUAUUUGCCGUGACAGGUUUCAUUUAAGGUUUAUUUGAAGGUAAACAUUAAUGAGCUUCUCAUCUGCAUUUGUCAUGUUUACCCCAGUGGCAAGGCCUGAAAAUGAAGCUUGAAAAAGAAUCAAAGAAUGGAGCUUUUUAUUGAACAAACGGGGGGUUGUUGAAAUGGGGAGAGAUACAGGACUUGAUGCCUUAGGAAGCUGCUGGUAUGACUGCUUAUUCAGAUUGUUUAGGUAUUUAUAUAACUUACCUCCCAUGAUGUUUUCCUUUAGCACCCUGGCAUUGAAACGGUCGCACAUGUCUGAGCAUUGGUACUAAAAUCUACAGCAAUUGUCUAUGAAGUGGUGGUAAAUUCUGUGGUCUGGACUAAUUCCCAGAAGAAAAUCAUCUUAAAUCUGAUAUGAACAUUUUAAAUUCGGAGGGCAGGAUUUUUGUUCAUUUUGAUUUGUCUAGUGGAGAAAUAACAUUGUAACACAUUCACUGUACUAGUACUUUGCUGCAUUAUCAAAUGUAUCAUUUUUU